rnacentral:rRNA from 1 species
UACAGAGGGUGCAAGCGUUGUUCGGAAUUACUGGGCGUAAAGGGCUCGUAGGCGGCCAACUAAGUCGGAUGUGAAAUCCCCAGGCUUAACCUGGGAACUGCAUCCGAUACUGGAUGGCUUGAAUCCGGGAGAGGGAUGCAGAAUUCCAGGUGUAGCGGUGAAAUGCGUAGAUAUCUGGAGGAAUACCGGUGGCGAAGGCGGCAUCCUGGACCGGCAUUGACGCUGAUGAGCGAAAGCCAGGGGAGCGAACGGG